GUGUAAUAAUAAUGCGGCACGUGUAGGUUCAAUGGUGUUUGGAAGGCGACAUUUGGGACCAGCAGCGAAUCUGCUGUGCGUUGUUUGUGUCAGCAGGUAGACGACAUGCAGGGAGAAUCAUGGACCAGAUCACUUUCCACCACAACACUGUGCUGUCUGACGUUCACCUGCUGUUGCCAAACUCCAGCCACAUGAUGACACGACUCAACGGCGUAGGACAGCCAGUGUUCAUCUCCCGGUUCAAAAUCCUGUGGAGCAGAGAGGAAAGCUGUGACCUUGGAUCCCCAAACAGAGGGGAAGGGUUAGACUGUGACACCCAGGAGGAGAGCAGAAGCAGAGAUGAGACGAGGAGUGGGACUGAUGGAGGGGUAGAACCACCUCUGGAUGAAGACGGAGACCUUGAGGUCACACGGAGGCACAACCUCCCAGAAAGGUGCACUGACCGGGACAUGGUCCACCCGGUUAUCCUCAGCCAGGCAGGAGAAGUGGAGGAGGAGGAGGAGGAGGAGGUGGAGGAAUCUAGAGACCUCAUCAAGAUUGAACACACCAUGGCCACACCUUUAGAAGAUGUUGGUAAACAGGUCUGGCGUGGUGCAUUCUUAUUGGCUGAUUUAAUCUUGUCUCAACCAAACACGUUCAAGGGAGCCACCGUCUUGGAGUUGGGGGCAGGGACUGGACUGACCAGCGUCGUCAUGGCAAUGGUGGCCAAAAUGGUUUACUGCACAGAUGUUGGAGAGGACCUGCUUAGCAUGUGCCAGAAGAACGUGAUGUUAAACAAACACUUCCUGGAGCCCACAGGUGGAGAGGUGAAGGUACGUCAGCUGGACUGGCUGAAACAUGACUUCUGCAUAAAUGCUGAUGAAGAGUUUGGAUGGACAGAGGAUGAGGUAGCAGAUCUCUAUGACAACACUGCAUUUAUCAUUGCAGCUGAUGGUAAGGCAGAUGUCUCCAGGUGGGCUCGGGGUGUGACCAGGUGGGCUCGGGUUGUGACCAGGUGGGCUCGGGUUGUGACCAGGUGGGUUCGGGUUGUGACCAGGUGGGCUCGGGUUGUGACCAGGUGGGCUCGGGUUGUGACCAGUGUGCUACGAUGAUGAUUUGACAGAUGCACUGUUCCGAACUCUGUACAGAAUCUGCAACCAGCUCCAUCACCCCUGUACUGCAUAUCUGUCCAUAGAGAAGAGGCUGAACUUCACGGUGAGACAGAUGGAUGUGUCAUGUGAAGCCUACGACCAUUUCCGCCACUGUCUGUCUGAGCUGGAGGAGAUGAAGGAUGGCCGGACAAGCUUCACAGUAGAGCAGGUCUCCCCCAACUUCCCUCAGUGUCUGCAGUACGAACGUGUGGAGCUGCUGGAGUUGUGGAAAGUGACAGCUGCGCCCAUCUGAGCACUCUGAAUGGGCCUACUCUGCUUCCAGUUGUGCGUUGAUCCAAGACCUGUUCUAGGAUCUGGUUCUGUACAGGUCUCGUUCAUUCUGACCCCAAGCAUCUGCAUUCCUCCACCUCCAGGUUUUUCCUUCAAUGUCUCACCUGUCAACAGGUCCACGGGUCAGACAAGUCUGUUGGACAGACCUCUUUGUUUCCUUGAGACACAAAUGCAAAUUGCUAUAGUAAAUGUCUCUCAAAAGCUGUGGGCUAAAUUACAUAGAUGUAGAUAUAAGCUCAGCCAUGUGUUUAUAAACAGAGUUAUAGAUUCAUACUUACCAGCUGUCAGAUUGAUGUGUACAUUUGAAAUGAUUUCAAUGUUUUAAACAUCACUAAAUGUUCACUAAACGGUAUGAAUCCAGCAGUUUGUUUAUAUAUUUAUUUGUUAUAUGGGCUUAAUAUGAAUACGUUGUUUAUCACAAGACCUGUAAGUUGUUUGCUUGAUAGGAGUGAUUAAAACUACUGAAGUUA